UGACCGCUGGCGGCAUGCUUUACACAUGCAAGUCGCACGGCAGCGCGGGCUUCGGCCUGGCGGCGAGUGGCGAACGGGUGAGUAAUACAUCGGAACGUGCCCAGUAGUGGGGGAUAGCUCGGCGAAAGCCGGAUUAAUACCGCAUACGACCUGAGGGUGAAAGCGGGGGAUCUUCGGACCUCGCGCUAUUGGAGCGGCCGAUGGCAGAUUAGCUAGUUGGUGGGGUAAAGGCCUACCAAGGCGACGAUCUGUAGCUGGUCUGAGAGGACGACCAGCCACACUGGGACUGAGACACGGCCCAGACUCCUACGGGAGGCAGCAGUGGGGAAUUUUGGACAAUGGGCGAAAGCCUGAUCCAGCAAUGCCGCGUGUGUGAUGAAGGCCUUCGGGUUGUAAAGCACUUUUGGCGGGAACGAAAAGGACUGUGCCAAUACCACGGUUCGAUGACGGUACCCGCAGAAUAAGCACCGGCUAACUACGUG
rnacentral:rRNA from 1 species